rnacentral:lncRNA from 1 species
GAUUAGAUUUCUGGUUGUGUGUGACAACUUGUAGAAUGGCAGCUGUCUAUGCAAAUGGUGAUUUCAUAAGGCCGAAAGAUAACAAACAGCCAACCUCAGUUGAUGAAGCAGACCGGUACGCUUAUGGAAACAGUGAUGACCUGGACUGGGAUCCAAAGAGAAAAGACAUUUCAGAUGCAUCUGAACACACAUUCUCAUCUAGGAAAGAGAAAGACCCGUCCUGUAAGGCAGUUCUUCUGGCUGUCCUUAGUAUCUCUCUGCUCGUGGCUCUGCUGGCUCUGUGUGUUCUGGGAAUUCUCUAUUCCCAUCUACUGAGGUCAUCUGAUUUGUUAAAAGAACAGAACAGAAAUGCUGCAGUCGACAUUGAAAUACAGGAGCAUAAUGCCACAGAACAACUGAACUGGAUGGAAAGUCGAGAUUAUUGUAUGAAAACUGGAGGUCAGCUGGUCAAACUAGCAGGCAAAGAUGAUCAGAUAAGUGUACAAUAUAUUUAUGUGUGUUUUUAGAUUUAAAAACAACUCUUGGUGAGUAAAAGGAGGUGCUUGACUUCCAGAAAAUGUUGAUAAUCAACAAUACGUUUUGUAUUUUUGGCCAACCCCAUAACCAAAAUAACUAUUAAAUUCACAUGGACACAAUUACAUAUCACAUCUCAUGAACUUGUCUUAUUAUGUCCUUUCCCAGUAUAAUUUGGCCUCAAUAAAGCUGAAAGAGCUGCAUUGGAUUGGACUACAUGAUUUGUACACUGAAGGACACUGGAUGUGGGUGGACAACACAAUUCUCUCAGGAGAAACGUAAGAGUUUGAGUUCAUUCACUUUAGCUGGCAUAAAUGCAUCUUUUCCGU